rnacentral:lncRNA from 1 species
GGUGAGGCCACUGAAGGUCUGAGGGAGAACUGACUUGUCAGGAACUCCUGUUAAGGAGAAUUAACAAAGUGUGGUUAUUAAAGGAGAACUGAGUUGGGAGUCAGACCUGGAGGACUGCACCCUUGGUUAAGACAUUAUACCACCUUGAGUCUGGCCUGUUGACUGAAGAGAAAUGCAUAAUGUCCACUGAAUUUAUUAAAGUUCCAAAAUCGGUCGCGCGCAGUGGCUCACGCCUGUAAUCUCAAUACUUCGGCAGGCCGAGGCGUGUGGAUCACGAGGUCAGGAGUUGG